rnacentral:rRNA from 1 species
GACGAACGCUGGCGGCGUGCCUAAUACAUGCAAGUUGAGCGCUGAAGGUUGGUACUUGUACCAACUGGAUGAGCAGCGAACGGGUGAGUAACGCGUGUGUAAUCUGCCUUGGAGCGGGGGACAACAUUUGGAAACGAAUGCUAAUACCGCAUAAAAACUUUAAACACAAGUUUUAAGUUUGAAAGAUGCAAUUGCAUCACUCAAAGAUGAUCCCGCGUUGUAUUAGCUAGUUGGUGAGGUAAAGGCUCACCAAGGCGAUGAUACAUAGCCGACCUGAGAGGGUGAUCGGCCAGAUUGGGACUGAGACACGGCCCAAAAUCCUACGGGAGGCAGCAGGAGGGAAUCUUCGGCAAUGGACGGAAGUCUGAACGAGCAACGCCGCGUGAGUGAAGAAGGGUUUCGGGUCGUAAAACUCUGUUGGUAGAGAAGAACGUUGGUGAGAGUGGAAAGCUCAUCAAGUGACGGUAACUACACAGAAAGGGACGGCUAACUACGUG